rnacentral:misc_RNA from 1 species
UGUGGGAGGGGGCUUGCCCCCGAUGCCGGUGUGUCAGCUGCAGAUUGCUGACUGAUACACCGCUAUCGGGGGCAAGCCCCCUCCCACA